CAAACGCUUCUCCAGACAGACACACGGUUUGCGCAAUCACAACAGGCCUGCAGCUUCGAUUUCAACCUGCUGCAUGUGAUUAUUUAAAGCCCGUGAACAGCCUUGAGGGAUCGGUCGAGUGCAUACUUUCUCGGUCGUGUGUUUCUUGUGUGCUUUUAAACUCUCGUGGAGGAGCUUACCCAACUCCCUGUGCUCACACUCGCCCUGUGCUAACACGGUCUUACUGUACUGUGGAAUAUUAAGCAUCGCAGAAACAGAUGGGGUCAGCACUUUGCCUAAGGGUAGUGAACAGAUUUUCAAAAUGUUUUCCAGGGAUUGCCCCUCUAGCCUUGAGGUUACCAUCAUGUCAACAUUGUUAAUUUCUAGUGGUCAUUUUUCUUGCUCGGUGCACAAUGAUAAAUAUGCGGCUUUGCUCUCCAUGUGCCUUUAAUCCCUCUGGCAUGAGCUAUGAGAGUAACCAACGAUAACCAAGCCCCUAUUCAUUGCUUCAGUUAUGCUUAAUUACCAUAAGGAGGCAAAAUGAAAGCACAUAAAUUGAAAAGUAUUUGUGGAAAUAGUGAUGCAUACAUGGGGCAGGCUUGAGAAUAUUAUGUAGACUAAGAAUAAAGUCUUAUUUAGAGUAUGUAGACGGCAUGGGAAUGAGCUUACAGAGGUGAUUUAGUAAAAGUUAUAUUAAGGAUAGCUCUUUGUGAUGACCUCUUUGCUUUCAAAUAAUUUAUUUUGGGCCAUUUUUGAGGAAAUGUCAACGUCAUGGUAUUGCUGCAUCCAUCAGGUCCCAAUGAGAAGAAGAAACAUAACCUAAGACAAGUUCCUGUUUCUACUUUCCAUUUCUAUUUUUGUACAAAUCUUGUUCCUCUGUGGGAAAAUUGCUAAACUUGAAAAUUUACAAAAAACUCCCUCUGGUAAUCCCCUAACAGCUAGUUCACACUACACGACUUUAGCCCUGAUUUUCAGCUCCCUGACAGUUUCUGAAGAUCCGAUUGUCAUGUGUGAACUGCCGAGAGGUUCGCCGCACUCGCCGAUGCCUCGAAGACACACUCCAGAUAUCUAGGAUGCUAAAUAUUUGGACCUGUCGGGGACUCCGGCCACGAGCUACAGCCAAUGAGAGCGCAAGACACGGGUUGAGGGGAAACCUGGGGGAGGAGGGGUCGCAUGUAAGAACAGAGA